rnacentral:rRNA from 1 species
GUGGGUAACCUGCCUUAUAGUGGGGGAUAGCCUUUCGAAAGGAAGAUUAAUACCUCAUAAGAUUGUAGUAUCGCAUGAUAUAGCAAUUAAAGGAGCAAUUCGCUAUAAGAUGGACCCGCGUCGCAUUAGCUAGUUGGUGAGGUAAUGGCUCACCAAGGCGACGAUGCGUAGCCGACCUGAGAGGGUGAUCGGCCACAUUGGGACUGAGACACGGCCCAGACUCCUACGGGAGGCAGCAUG